rnacentral:rRNA from 1 species
CGCGACUGUGGAUGAACCUCUUUAGAGGUUCGUGGUAGGAGAGCGUUCUAAGGGCGGUGAAGUCAGACCGGAAGGACUGGUGGAGCGCUUAGAAGUGAGAAUGCCGGUAUGAGUAGCGAAAGAAGGGGGAGAAUCCCUUCCACCGAAUAUCUAAGGUUUCCUGAGGAAGGCUCGUCCGCUCAGGGUUAGUCGGGACCUAAGCCGAGGCCGAUAGGCGUAGGCGAUGGACAACAGGUAGAGAUUCCUGUACCAGUG